rnacentral:rRNA from 1 species
UACGUAGGGUGCAAGCGUUGUCCGGAAUUAUUGGGCGUAAAGAGCUCGUAGGCGGCUUGUCGCGUCUGCUGUGAAAACCCGAGGCUCAACUUCGGGCUUGCAGUGGGUACGGGCAGGCUAGAGUGUGGUAGGGGAGAUUGGAAUUCCUGGUGUAGCGGUGGAAUGCGCAGAUAUCAGGAGGAACACCGAUGGCGAAGGCAGAUCUCUGGGCCACUACUGACGCUGAGGAGCGAAAGCAUGGGGAGCGAACAGG